AGACCCGAAACCCGGUGAUCUAGCCAUGGGCAGGUUGAAGGUUGGGUAACACUAACUGGAGGACCGAACCGACUAAUGUUGAAAAAUUAGCGGAUGACCUGUGGCUGGGGGUGAAAGGCCAAUCAAACCGGGAGAUAGCUGGUUCUCCCCGAAAGCUAUUUAGGUAGCGCCUCGUGAAUUCAUCUCCGGGGGUAGAGCACUGUUUCGGCUAGGGGGCCAUCCCGGCUUACCAACCCGAUGCAAACUGCGAAUACCGGAGAAUGUUAUCACGGGAGACACACGGCGGGUGCUAACGUCCGUCGUGAAGAGGGAAACAACCCAGACCGCCAGCUAAGGUCCCAAAGUCAUGGUUAAGUGGGAAACGAUGUGGGAAGGCCCAGACAGCCAGGAUGUUGGCUUAGAAGCAGCCAUCAUUUAAAGAAAGCGUAAUAGCUCACUGGUCGAGUCGGCCUGCGCGGAAGAUGUAACGGGGCUAAACCAUGCACCGAAGCUGCGGCAGCGACACUGUGUGU
rnacentral:rRNA from 10 species